CGGAGAGUUUGAUCCUGGCUCAGGACGAACGCUGGCGGCGUGCUUCAUUCAUGCUAGUCGAGCGGGGUGUAGUUGGUGCUUGCUCUGGCUGCGCCUAGCGGCGGACGGGUGAGUAACGCGUGAGCAACCUGCCCUGAGGUUCGGGAUAACACCUCGAAAGGGGUGCUAAUACCGGAUGUGCUUGGUUUCCGGCAUCGGGUGCCAAGGAAAGGGUUUUACUUGCUUCAGGAGGGGCUCGCGUCCUAUUAGCUAGUUGGUGGGGUAACGGCCUACCAAGGCGACGAUGGGUAGCCGGCCUGAGAGGGUGGUCGGCCACACUGGGACUGAGACACGGCCCAGACUCCUACGGGAGGCAGCAGUCGGGAAUAUUCCGCAAUGGGCGAAAGCCUGACGGAGCGACGCCGCGUG
rnacentral:rRNA from 1 species